CCUACGGGCGGCUGCAGUGAGGAAUAUUGGUCAAUGGGCGCGAGCCUGAACCAGCCAAGUACCGGGAAGGAUAACUGCCCUACGGGUUGUAAACUUCUUUUAUAAAGGAAUAAAGUGAGGCACGGGUGCCUUUUGUUAUGUACUUUAUGAAUAAGGAUCGGCUAACUCCGUGCCAGCAGCCGCGGUAAUACGGAGGAUCCGAGCUUUAUCCGGAUUUAUUGGGUGUAAAGGGAGCGUAGAUGGGUUGUUAAGUCAGUUGGGAAAGUUUGCGGCGCAACCGUAAAAUUGCAAUUGAUACUGGCAGCCUUGAGUACAGUUGAGGUAGGCGGAAUUCGUGGUGUAGCGGUGAAAUGCUUAGAUAUCACGAAGAACUCCGAUUGCGAAGGCAGCCUACUAAACUGCCACUGACAUUGAUGCUCGAAAGUGUGGGUAUCAAACAGGAUUAGAUACCCCUGUAGUC
rnacentral:rRNA from 1 species